rnacentral:rRNA from 1 species
UGGGGAAUAUUGCACAAUGGGCGAAAGCCUGAUGCAGCAACGCCGCGUGAGUGAUGAAGGCCUUCGGGUUGUAAAGCUCUGUCUUUUGGGACGAUAAUGACGGUACCAAAGGAGGAAGCCACGGCUAACUACGUGCCAGCAGCCGCGGUAAUACGUAGGUGGCAAGCGUUGUCCGGAUUUACUGGGCGUAAAGGAUGCGUAGGCGGAUUUUUAAGUGAGAUGUGAAAACCCUAAGCUUAACUUGGGGACUGCAUUUCAUACUGGAAAUCUAGAGUGCGGGAGAGGAGAAUGGAAUUCCUAGUGUAGCGGUGAAAUGCGUAGAGAUUAGGAAGAACACCAGUGGCGAAGGCGAUUCUCUGGACCGUAACUGACGCUGAGGCAUGAAAGCGUGGGUAGCAAACAGGAUUAGAUACCCUGGUAGUCCACGCCGUAAACGAUGAGUACUAGGUGUAGGAGGUAUCGACCCCUUCUGUGCCGCAGUUAACACAAUAAGUACUCCGCCUGGGAAGUACGAUCGCAAGAUUAAAACUCAAAUG